GAUGAACGCUGGCGGCGUGCCUAAUACAUGCAAGUCGAGCGAACGGACGAGAAGCUUGCUUCUCUGAUGUUAGCGGCGGACGGGAGAGUAACACGUGGAUAACCUACCUAUAAGACUGGGAUAACUUCGGGAAACCGGAGCUAAUACCGGAUAAUAUUUUGAACCGCAUGGUUCAAAAGUGAAAAACGGUCUUGCUGUCACUUAUAGAUGGAUCCGCGCUGCAUUAGCUAGUUGGUAAGGUAACGGCUUACCAAGGCAACGAUGCAUAGCCGACCUGAGAGGGUGAUCGGCCACACUGGAACUGAGACACGGUCCAGACUCCUACGGGAGGCAGCAGUAGGGAAUCUUCCGCAAUGGGCGAAAGCCUGACGGAGCAACGCCGCGUGAGUGAUGAAGGUCUUCGGAUCGUAAAACUCUGUUAUUAGGGAAGAACAUAUGUGUAAGUAACUGUGCACAUCUUGACGGUACCUAAUCAGAAAGCCACGGCUAACUACGUG
rnacentral:rRNA from 1 species